rnacentral:rRNA from 1 species
UACAGAGGUCUCGAGCGUUAGGCGGAAUCACUGGGCUUAAAGCGUGUGUAGGCGGAUCGGUAAGUACCUUGUGAAAUCCCACAGCUUAACUGUGGAACUGCUUGGUAUACUGCCGGUCUUGAGCCAGCUAGGGGCUACCGGAACAAAUGGUGGAGCGGUGAAAUGCGUAGAUAUCAUUUGGAACGCCAAUGGGUGAAAAACAGGUAGCUGGGGGCUGUGCUGACGCUGAGACACGAAAGCCAGGGGAGCAAACGGG